rnacentral:rRNA from 1 species
GCCCGCACAAGCGGUGGAGCAUGUGGUUUAAUUCGAUGCAACGCGAAGAACCUUACCUGGUCUUGACAUCCACAGAACUUUCCAGAGAUGGAUUGGUGCCUUCGGGAACUGUGAGACAGGUGCUGCAUGGCUGUCGUCAGCUCGGUGUUGUGAAAUGUUGGGUUAAGUCCCGCAACGAGCGCAACCCUUAUCCUUUGUUGCCAGCGGUCCGGCCGGGAACUCAAAGGAGACUGCCAGUGAUAAACUGGAGGAAGGUGGGGAUGACGUCAAGUCAUCAUGGCCCUUACGACCAGGGCUACACACGUGCUACAAUGGCGCAUACAAAGAGAAGCGACCUCGCGAGAGCAAGCGGACCUCAUAAAGUGCGUCGUAGUCCGGAUUGGAGUCUGCAACUCGACUCCAUGAAGUCGGAAUCGCUAGUAAUCGUGGAUCAGAAUGCCACGGUGAAUA